AAAUAUCCGCGUAUAGUCUAGCCAAAAGAGCAAAAAUUUCUUCAUAAAUGGCUUAUUUAGUCCUAUUAUAAUCGUGCCACUGGUUUCUGUUGUGGGUCUUGGGCUCUUUCCAAGGGGAUUCCCACUUCUUGCUAGCUGUGUAGAAAUUGGCCUGCCUAUGCUAAUAUUCCUGGUUAUCUCCCAACAGUAUUUGAAGCGCAUCCAUUCCA